rnacentral:rRNA from 1 species
AACGAACGCUGGCGGCAUGCCUAACACAUGCAAGUCGAACGAGACCUUCGGGUCUAGUGGCGCACGGGUGCGUAACGCGUGGGAAUCUGCCUGGGGUGCGGAAUAACUCGGAGAAAUCCGUGCUAAUACCGCAUAAUGUCUUCGGACCAAAGAUUUAUCGCCCUGGGAUGAGCCCGCGUAGGAUUAGCUAGUUGGUGGGUAAAGGCCUACCAAGGCGACGAUCCUUAGCUGGUCUGAGAGGAUGAUCAGCCACACUGGGACUGAGACACGGCCCAGACUCCUACGGGAGGCAGCAGUGGGGAAUAUUGGACAAUGGGCGAAAGCCUGAUCCAGCAAUGCCGCGUGAGUGAUGAAGGCCCUAGGGUUGUAAGCUCUUUACCCGGGAUGAUAAUGACAGUACCGGGAGAAGU